GGUCAAAACAAGAAGUACAUACUUCAUAAUGUUUAAAAUGCGCUUUUAGUAAACGUAGAUUACAUAAUAUGAAUACAACUGUGUUAAAUAGAAAAGCGCCUUCAAUGGCGCAUUGUUUGGAAAGCUAUUAGGAUAUGAGCAAUUUUAAUCUAUUUUAACAGCAGAUGAUAAAGCAGUCUGGAAAUAAUUCCGACAGUUUUCUGGAUAUUUUUUGGGAAACAAAAGUUCGAAAAUUAUUGGAAUCGUCCUAAUCAUGAUUAAAAUAAAAUUAAGAAAAAAUUAGUCUUUACUUAGACUUUUGUGUCGACCAACUUAGAUGAGCUUAGAUAUGAACGCGGAGAAUGAUUUAACAAACAACUAAAAUCUAUGGAGGAACGUUACAAGAAUUUGUGGAAUCAGAUGGAUUGGAAGGCAAGGUCUCGGUCAAACUACUGAAAAACGAAUCUACUAUAAGUAUUACAUCGAAUAAAUUGAUGAAAGUAAACUAAUUUCUCACUUAAACGAUUUAAAAGACAUCGAUGUUAUUGAAUUUACCGGCAAACGAAGCCUGCACCUUAAGACCUGUCCAUUCAAAUCAAGGCUGUUAUCAGUAAAUAUCUGUACUGAUAUGGAUUUUUGACUGUUUGCACAAACGCAUAUAAGGCCAAUGUUAAUGUUUAUGCAUUAAAAUGUACUUAAGUAUGUCGUACAAACAAUUGUAAAUUUCACUCAACAAACGGCUAUCAAAGUGAAAUUGCUCCACGAGCGAAACUAAACAGCGCUGUUGCUGUCAAGUUGGGCUGCCGGCGCACGUGAAAUUAUUAAGUGUCUUAGCAGUUGUUUGUCUCGUUGCAACCAAGCAACCCAACUGUACUUAGAAAAUAAAUUAACAACAAAUGUGAA